rnacentral:rRNA from 1 species
GAUGAACGCUGGCGGCGUGCCUAAUACAUGCAAGUCGGGCGAACGGACGAGAAGCUUGCUUCUCUGAUGUUAGCGGCGGACGGGUGAGUAACACGUGGAUAACCUACCUAUAAGACUGGGAUAACUUCGGGAAACCGGAUCUAAUACCGGAUCAUAUUUUGAACCGCAUGGUUCAAAAGUGAAAGACGGUCUUGCUGUCACUUAUAGAUGGAUCCGCGCUGCAUUAGCUAGUUGGUAAGGUAACGGCUUACCAAGGCAACGAUGCAUAGCCGACCUGAGAGGGUGAUCGGCCACACUGGAACUGAGACACGGUCCAGACUCCUACGGGAGGCAGCAGUAGGGAAUCUUCCGCAAUGGGCGAAAGCCUGAUGGAGCAACGCCGCGUGAGUGAUGAAGGUCUUCGGAUCGUAAAACUCUGUUAUUAGGGAAGAACAUAUGUGUAAGUAACUGUGCACAUCUUGACGGUACCUAAUCAGAAAGCAACGGCUAACUACGUG